rnacentral:sRNA from 1 species
CUCAUUAUGUGUAAAUAACACACACGGAUCGGCACAUACACCGGGGUGCUCUUAUGCGGUUAACUCAUUGAUAUGACUUGCCCGCAGCCAAGGAGUCGGUGUCAUGGGAUCUGUGGAGGCAUAAC